UAUAAGUUGAGCAGAGGUUCCGAGGUAGGAUUAUCAACACUGCGCUAAAUGACAAAUCGUGUCUACCACCACCGAUGAAAGAAUUUGCUUUUAAGACAUCUUUUCAUUAAGGGCAUUAAAGGCCACCGAAAAGCUUCCCUGACUGCGUUGGUAAUGCACUGUUAGCAUGGAAUAAGAUUCAGUGUCUGGAUGAGAAGAAUCACUUUGGCAGGAAAUACAGAAACAUUAAAAGCCUGAGUAUUUCACAUGGAAUGAUGGCUUCUAUCAGCCUGCUAAAAUAAAUGUGUGAUGGCUUUAUGAGAAUA